AUUUGAAUCCUUGAUCUCAUUGACUCGAUCAAAGCGAGGUUGCGCCUUACCGCCAAUUUAGGGGUCUUAUUAAGUCCGGGAAACCAUUUGUAUCAGUACCCUGGUAUCAGUACCCUGAUAACAAACAUCCGUCAGACUGGCCGUGGUCCGUUGAUUUUAUUUGGAUCACACGGCCUAUGGUUCCCGUCAUUAACGCUGGAAUUUAACAUCAAAUUAAUGCGUGAAUUUAGCCUUUCCUAGUAAAUCUAGCCUGCUCGGCCCACCCACUCCACCCAGUCUCGCAUCUCACGGGCGAGCCAAUCCAGUCCCGAGCUCGCUGCGGUCGCUGCUCACGGCGACGGCUACCUCCGCCACGACCUGCUCGGCACCACAGCUCCGCGACGGCUACCUCUUCCACAACUAGCUCCGCACCAAGGCUACAGCUGCUCCACCUCGCCGGUGCUGCGUCCCGCUCCCGUCUACUUCGCCGGAACACUGCUCUCACCAACCCCCGUCGCCGCCCCGCAACAGCGCCGUUUCGGAACCGCAAAGAAGUUGCACGCGCAUCCUAGCCGUCGCCCCUGGUGUUUUCCUUCCACAGUUCAACCAAAUUCUAUAAACUUUUUGGAAUGUAGGUGAUCGAACCAUCUGUGAGUUCUGCUUGGCGCCGCCCUUGAUAACACGGUGGCCAUGGCCUCAAGCUGUAUGUGUGACAUUUACGGUGUUGUGGAAGACACAAAUGAGCCAAUGGCCUUGCCAUGCCCACCGAGGAGAUUGUGGGUGGACAAGAUUUAGAGGCCAGUGACGAUAUUGUCCGCAGAAGAGACAAUGUGCUAGCAUCCAGCUCAAGUUUAACAAAUUUUUGAUUUCUUUGGAUGCAAAUUAUAUUAUUUUUCGGAAGUAGAUUCUAAUUAAUAUCUCUAGAAGCAAUGUCUGAUUGAUGGAAACAACAAUAUUUUUUUGGUUGGGGGCAAUUCCAUGUUUCACUUGACACAAUUUUUUGGCCGUUGUAUUGUCUAUGCGUAGCAAACAAUAUACACUGAUAGAUUGUACAUAAUUAUCACUAGAUCAAAGCAAUCAUCCGCUGGCAUGGAACAUUUUCUCA